UACGAAGGGGGCUAGCGUUGCUUGGAAUCACUGGGCGUAAAGGGCGCGUAGGCGGCGUUUUAAGUCGGGGGUGAAAGCCUGUGGCUCAACCACAGAAUGGCCUUCGAUACUGGGACGCUUGAGUAUGGUAGAGGUUGGUGGAACUGCGAGUGUAGAGGUGAAAUUCGUAGAUAUUCGCAAGAACACCGGUGGCGAAGGCGGCCAACUGGACCAUUACUGACGCUGAGGCGCGAAGGCGUGGGGAGCAAACGGG
rnacentral:rRNA from 1 species